UUGGCAUGGACGGAGUCUGACGGAGCGACGCCGCGUGGAUGAAGAAGGCCGAAAGGUUGUAAAGUUCUUUUGCUAGGGGAGAAUAAGUGUGGGAGGGAAUGCCUGCACGAUGACAAGGACUAGCGAAUAAGUCCCGGCCAACUACGUGCCAGCAGCCGCGGUAAUA
rnacentral:rRNA from 1 species